rnacentral:lncRNA from 1 species
GCCACUAGCCCUGGACAGAGUACCCCUGGGGAGCCCCUUACCUGGCCCCCUUUCCUCGCCACUCCAUCCCUUCCCUAGCACACUUUGUGGGGCCACCAGCGGCACUCACAGCUUUCCUCCUGAAACCCACCCUCCGGGCCCACGAGCUGCUCCCCCGUGCGCGCCCUCCCUCUGGCCCUUGACUCCUCGGGCACUGCCUCUGCCUGAAGCCCCCUCUGCCCCCACCCACCCCAAGCCCCUCAGUUCCACGGUGACCCCUCACGCACACAUUAGCAGGUGCACGGCCACUCAGCACAAGGGUGCUCCGGCUCUCCGGCCUCGGCCCAGCUGGCCUGUCUCCUGAGGCCACCCUGUCCCGAUGCCCGCCCCCUCUGUCCUCGUGUCAUCUCCUUCUGGCUCUGCCUUCCCUCUGACGAUGCCCACGUCCCCUCCACUGGAUCUUCCUGCCCAGCCUUGAGCAGCUGGCCCACUGCCUACCUGAGGGUCCCCUGCCUGAGGGACACCACUCAGACACCCAGCGGGGCCUGGCCUCUCCGUCUAGCAGCUGGACAAAACCAGCCAACCCGUGACCCACCAGCUCCUUCACCUCCAAACCACACCAGCCCCAGUUCCUGCGGCCCCACCCGGCAAAGCCUCGGUGUCCCCAUCUGUGGGUGGGCAUGCCCUGGGGCCACAGAGCCCCCUGAGAUGGCACCCAUUCAGACGUCCCCAUCCCCAGAGACACCCUUCUUGGCCUGGCCCCACAGGGACCUUCUGUCCCGGGAGAGGCCACACCGCUGAUCCUGAGGGUCUGACCGGGUCAUCAGGGCAGACCCACAGGCCUCCUGGGAUCGAGCUCAGAGUGAGGGGAAGCCUCUGCCAUUGUCAGGCGGGGCUCCAAGGGGCAGCUGCACUGUCCAGGGUUCGUACCCCAGAGCAUCCCGACUGGAGGGCGCCCUGGGCCCUCCCUGCCCCUGCCCCAGAGGAACAGACCCCAAG